AGAAUCAACAGCACAUAGAAGAGAGUUCAACAGGAUGGGCAGGCGGAUUCUUCGUUUCAACACCAUAUUUCACAUCAGACAGCAGUUCAUACUACAAAAUUUUUAGUGAUAAAAAUGGCUAUAAGCAUAUUCAUUACAUCAAUGGCUCUGUGGAGAAUGCGAUCCAAAUUACAAGCGGAGAAUGGGAGGCAAUAUAUAUUUUCAGGGUAACAAGUGAUGCAAU